UACGUAGGGGGCUAGCGUUGUCCGGAAUCAUUGGGCGUAAAGGGUGCGUAGGCGGCGCGGUAAGUCGGGUGUGAAAUCUCGGAGCUUAACUCCGAAACUGCAUUCGAUACUGCCGUGCUUGAGGACUGGAGAGGAGACUGGAAUUUACGGUGUAGCGGUGAAAUGCGUAGAUAUCGUAAGGAAGACCAGUGGCGAAGGCGGGUCUCUGGACAGUUCCUGACGCUGAGGCACGAAGGCCAGGGGAGCAAACGGG
rnacentral:rRNA from 1 species